AAACCUUUUUAUCAUGGCGGCAUUUCAUUUNUUCAAAGAAACCUGUUACUUAAUUGAUAAACCACAUUAAUUUUCACUUUAUUUUUCAAUUUAUAUACCGUCAUUAAAGAAUUAAUUUAAGUUUAAAUUCACUAUAAUACUUAAAAAAUUAGAUCAAGGUGUAAUUUAUAUUAAAGAAUUAAUGGGUUGCACUAAACCCAAUUUAAAUAACUUAAAUAUUAAUUUAGAAUUUGAUAACAAUUUAAUAAUAAUAAUUUUAAAUGANAUAAAACAAAAAUGUGCACACAUCGCCC
rnacentral:rRNA from 1 species